AUUGAACGCUGGCGGCAGGCCUAACACAUGCAAGUCGAGCGGUAGAGAGGUGCUUGCAUCUCUUGAGAGCGGCGGACGGGUGAGUAAUGCCUAGGAAUCUGCCUAGUGGUGGGGGAUAACGUUUCGGAAACGGACGCUAAUACCGCAUACGUCCUACGGGAGAAAGCGGGGGAUCUUCGGACCUCGCGCCAUUAGAUGAGCCUAGGUCGGAUUAGCUAGUUGGUGAGGUAAUGGCUCACCAAGGCGACGACUACCGUAACGUGGUCUGAGAGGAGUGAUCAGUCACAC
rnacentral:rRNA from 1 species